CUAUUGUUAAUGGCAUUGCAAUCGAAAUUAACAUUGAGAUAGAUCGUGGGUAGGGCCUUUGGAAUAUGAUAUUGUUGAGUGGGUGUCUGACCAGGACAACAUCUUUCAGGACCUUUUCGAUACUGCAUGAUGCAAUAGGAAGAAAGAAAAAAUAAAACAAAAAAUAAUCAAAUAUGUGAAUCAGCCAAAAAAAGGACUCGCUUCCACGGGACAUGCAAACUUCACUAUGAAAAAAAGAAAUAUUAUAAAAGAAGAUCUCACUUUCAACUCUCGUACACCC
rnacentral:lncRNA from 1 species